GAAUAUUGGUCAAUGGAGGCAACUCUGAACCAGCCAUGCCGCGUGCAGGAAGACAGCCCUCUGGGUCGUAAACUGCUUUUAUUCGGGAAUAAACCACAUUACGUGUAAUGUGCUGAAUGUACCGAAGGAAUAAGGAACGGCUAACUCCGUGCCAGCAGCCGCGGUAAUACGGAGGAUCCAAGCGUUAUCCGGAUUUAUUGGGUUUAAAGGGUGCGUAGGCGGCUUAUUAAGUCAGGGGUGAAAGACGGUGGCUCAACCACCGCAGUGCCUUUGAUACUGAUGAGCUUGAAUGAACUAGAGGUAGGCGGAAUGUGACAAGUAGCGGUGAAAUGCAUAGAUAUGUCACAGAACACCGAUUGCGAAGGCAGCUUACUAUGGUUUUAUUGACGCUGAGGCACGAAAGCGUGGGGAUCAAACAGG
rnacentral:rRNA from 1 species